rnacentral:rRNA from 1 species
UAAAACCUACGGGACGCAGCAGUGGGGGAUAUUGCACAAUGGGGGGAACCCUGAUGCAGCGACGCCGCGUGGGUGAAGGAGCGUUUCGGCGCGUAAAGCCCUAUCGGCAGGGAAGAAGGAGGACGGUACCUGACUAAGAAGCCCCGGCUAACUACGUGCCAGCAGCCGCGGUAAUACGUAGGGGGCAAGCGUUAUCCGGAUUUACUGGGUGUAAAGGGCGUGUAGGCGGGAAAGCAAGUCAGAUUUG